UUGGUUGAACCCACACAAAGGUAGAACAGCUGACAUAGCUGGAAGCCGCUUGGAUCCCACCACUGAAAUUGAGGUAA
rnacentral:lncRNA from 1 species